CCCUUAGAUGUUCUGGGCCGCACGCGCGCUACACUGUUCGACGCAGCGAGUCUUAACCUUGACCGAAAGGUUUGGGUAAUCUUCAGCAAAGUCGAACGUGAUGGGGAUCGAUCAUUGCAAUUAUUGAUCGUGAACGCGGAAUUCCUAGUAAGUGCAAGUCAUCAGCUUGCGCUGAUUACGUCCCUGCCCUUUGUACACACCGCCCGUCGCUACUACCGAUUGAAUGGUUUAGUGAGAUCUCUGGAUUGACGCUGGCUAGGGGGCGACCCUUGGCCAGACUGUUGAGAAACUGCUCAAACUUGAUCAUUUAGAGGAAGUAAAAGUCGUAACA
rnacentral:rRNA from 1 species